AACUGAAACUCAUGAUGUGGAAAAGGUCAAAACAGUAUUGAAUUCAGAGAGGAGGAAGGAGUUUCAGGAAGAAUUGACAACAGCAUUGCUUUUGCUCUGGGAGGCUUCUCUCCCCCUUUGUGUAGACAAAGGCUGCAGAGGUAAAAGGUUUUGCUUCACUUGGAUAGGAACCAAGCCAGCCACAUGGAAAGAAAAAUAACUUGGGUUUUAGCCAGAUGAUACCAAAAUGACCCCAGAACCAGAAGAUGGCAGAGCCACAAAGUGAAAAAUACUUGGGUCUCUGAAUCAUAGCUUGGAGGAGGGCUUCCUGGAAAACCAUCCCAACAGAGACAUCCGCAUUAAACUUUGUGUAAACAAAAAAUAAAUCUUUCUUGUGGUAGGCCACUGAGAUUUAGAUUGCUACAGCAGCUAACCGAUCUGACCAAUACAGCAGAGAACUCCUCCAGUGCUCUCAAGUGUUUUACAGACCACUAAUUAUUAAAUGUGGAAGCUCUGGAGCAGAGAACCUUUCAACUGAAAUGAUGACAAACGAUGCUGGCUGAGGAGAGUCAGACCUGAAAAGUUAGGAAUCCCUAAAAUGACGUCAACCUAUAAUUCCUAUUACAGAGCUCUGAUUUCUACUGAUCGUUUUAGGAACCAUAUCUACUAUGUGAGAAAAGCUGCUGGUGGGCCUAAUUUAGAUGAAAAGCAGAAAGGCCUUAAAAAAGAAAUGGGAAAGGAAUAUACAGAAGCAAGAAGAUGAUUGAAAAAAGAUGGCAAUUCAUGUACUUGUUGAACACCAGUUCUGAGCUGCAGAGCAGGAGGCACAAGACGUAAACAAAAAAGUCUCUGUUACGGUCCUAAAGAAGCCAAUCAUCUAGAGAAAUGUAUGCACAGCAGGUCCAGCAGAAUGGGCUUUGCGCUGAUGAGGGAAGCAAGAGGAGAGCAUGGCCUGGGAAAGGAGAUGAUCAGGCUCACUUCCCAUUUCUCUGUGGAAGAACCGUGGCAAACACAGAGUCAACUCACAACGUUCAUUGGAAUUUUUCCCACUUGACUCCUUCGCAAGUUGGAAUAAGGAGUUUGGAAAGGGAGGAUUUCUUCAUAUAAAAAUGGUCUGGGUAUAUCCACGCAAAACUAAAGGGAGUGGAAGAGACCCUAGGUCUACACAUUUGAUGGGAUAGAUCCUUCGGGCUCAGCCUCACCUGCAGGUACUGAAGGAAGCCUUAGUCUGCUAUACAGAGCACUCUGCACCAUGGGGAGAAGAUCAAUAUGCUAAACUUGGGUACUGGGCCUAAAUCUUACGAAGUGACCUCAAACCUAGGAAGGGUAGUUUCAUCAGAAAAGAUCCUACAACCUUCUAUCUGAAGAGCAUGAAUAGCUGCUGCUUUUUUGGAGUUGGGGCCUUUCAUUCACCAUGAAGAUACUGCAUUGUGGCACAGUCCUUGAAGAGACAAGGCUCAGGAAAUUGUGUCUCAUGCAUUUGGAAACAUUACCUUGGAAACAUUAAAUAAAAGACAGGAAACCACAUACCAGCUGAAGAAAAGAACCAAUUCCUGCACAGGGUCUGUGUAAAGGUGAUGCCUGACUCCAGUCUACGAG
rnacentral:lncRNA from 1 species